AUGGAACUUCCCGUAUUCCGACAGAGUACCUUCAGUUGAUGGACGCUUCCUAGCUUACGCUGAGGACCACAAGCACCGCACCGGACACCACAACCAACGCAGACUCCACAACCGCCGUAGCUUAACUGGAGUCUCCCCAUAUUCUGUCCACUCUGGAUCAGCUUCUGUCCUCCAGGACUGUGUGGGGAAGACCUCUCCUCCAGGAGAGUGUAUCAAGAACAAGCUCUUAAAAGAGCUAAGUGAUUAAAGCUCAGGGG